CCGUCGGGCCGCACGGGCGCGCCCAGGGCGUCUGCUCUCCUGCCAGGGUCGUGGAGGCGCCGGUUCCGGAGAGCCCUGGCAUGCUUCACCAGGUCCUUCAGGGGAGGAUACCAGAGGCUGGAGAACUGAGACCAUGGAGGAGCCGCAGUCACGAGCCAUGAACGCCGAGCAAGCCCUCGCUGCAGCCUCACGCCGCUGCUUUCCCCGCUGUCUCUGUGGGGCCUGAAAUAAACGCUGGCUUGCUUGACCCGU